AUGGUGAAGUGGGCUGACAUUUGCUUGCCGAAGGACCGAGGUUGGUUGGGCAUCCCUGCAUCUCGCCGGAUGAACGUUGCGCUUAUGCUGCGUUGGGUUUGGUGGAUCUUGCGGGGAGAUGGGGGGUUGAGGCUGUAGCUGGUUGAGUCCAAGUACUUGCAGGGCCAACCCCUCAUGGCUUGCUCACACUUGGCUGGGUCCUAG
rnacentral:rRNA from 1 species